rnacentral:lncRNA from 1 species
CCUGUGGUUUUUCCUAAAAGGGUUUCCACGUAAAAAUCUGUGUGCUUUUUAUUUUUUAUUUCUAUUUUCUUUGCGAUAUAUUGUCAUUAUCGACAUUCUAUUUUUACAAAUUGGUAUCAGAGCUUCCGAGUUGUUCAUCUUAAUCACAGUAAUGUCGUCUUUGAAGUAUGAAAUUCUGCUGUUGGAUCGCAACACCAAAUUCGCG